GCCAGCAUGUUUUCACCAUACACCAAAGGGCUCACCUUUCUGAUGAUGAUAAUGACUAGCUUUGCCUUUACAUCACCAGGGAUGACCAUGGUGUUGCCUAACGGAGACGAUGAAGCAGGAACCCCACCCAAACGAUUCGAUACAAAUGUCCUAAUGGCAAACUGUGGAGGACUAGGCGGCCGUUGUCGAUAUAUUCCUCCUGGGCGAUGCGUACACGCUUGUGUUAACGGAGUAGUGAAAAACGUAUGUAGACUCACUCCUAGAACACCCAAUGAACGACGGUGCCUUGUUGGCCCGAUUCACUGACUUCGAAGAACCAACUAGUGCCAGCGUGUAGCUGAUCAUACACACCCGAAAAAGAAUACUGGAUCAGCGAUGGAAAUGGUAAAUGAAGUGAAACCCUACUCUGUUGUACACCAUUAACGUUUGAGAGGAUAUGCAGCAAAUGAAGAAUUUUUGGCUAGAAUAUUGUCAGGAAAAUGAUACAACGUUCUUUUCCAGAAAUUUCGCUUAACCCACACACGGCGCCUUCUUACACUUGGAUAGUGGGCUUUAACUUUGACAAUGAAGGAUGAAGAUUUUGCCUCUAUUUAUUGAAGAAGUCAGUUUUCUGAAAAAUAACAUUUUCACCAUUUUGUAUGGUAGCAAAGCACCACCCUGAACAUGUUUAUGUGAAUCUUAUUCAAUGCUCUUUCGAUUGCUCUAUUAUAACGUUUAUGUCUUGCAUAGACCUCUUGCCUGAACAUGUACAUAUAAAUGCAGACGUUAAAACUCCACAUUAUAUUUCAGAUGACAUAAGCAUAGUUUGCAAAGCUAUGAAAUACAUUCGCAAUAUGUUAUGAAGGAACUGUCAAUUCUUGCCAUUCAAAUAUGCUUAGCAUCUAUUAUUACACGAACGCCCAUAAGCUGACGUAGAUCAAGUAAAGCUUACAGCACAAUACGGAGUCUUGCAAUGCGUAUAUUUUGUAUAUAUCACAGUAUUGUUGUAUGUAAUGCGUCUUGUACAGCGACGAUUCUGAGCACUAUGUCUGUUUUGUUUUCUCUUUUAAUUUCCGAUCAUAAAAUACAAAGUACAUACUCAAUUCAAUAACAUGCGGUACAAAUGUAACCAUUAAGAAGAUAAUAAUCAGGUAAAAAAAACCUCUGUAACCUUUGUCAAUGAAUGUGAAUAUAUAUUAGAGAAUGAAUCUGGUGAUUCUUUAGUUUUAUUACGAUAACAGAGUGAAAAUAUGAUUGUCAUGGUACGUACAAAUGGCCUAUUUACGAGUCUUUCAUAUUAUUAGUUGAGGAUAGUUAGUGUAUGCACGUGAGAAAUAAAGUAAACGGUAAAACA
rnacentral:lncRNA from 1 species